UUCGCAAUGCCCGAAAGGGUGACGAAGCGACGCCGCGUGUGGGAAGAAGGCCUUCGGGUUGUAAACCACUGUCGGGAGUUAAGAAAUACAAGGAUAUUAAUAGUGUCUUUGUUUGACUAAGGCUCCGGAGGAAGCCACGGCUAACUCUGUGCCAGCAGCCGCGGUAAUACAGAGGCGGCAAACGUUGUUCGGAAUUAUUGGGCGUAAAGAGCACGUAGGCGGCUAUGUAAGUCGGUUGUGAAAGCCUUCCGCUCAACGGAAGAACAGCAUCCGAUACUACAUGGCUUGAGUGCGGGAGGGGAGAGUGGAACUUCUGGUGGAGCGGUGAAAUGCGUAGAUAUCAGAAGGAACGCCGGCGGCGAAAGCGGCUCUCUGGCCCAUAACUGACGCUGAGCGUGCGAAAGCUAGGGGAGCAAACGGGAUUAGAUACCCCGGUAGUCCUAGCCGUAAACGAUGGGCACUAAGUAGAGGGGUUUUA
rnacentral:rRNA from 1 species